rnacentral:snoRNA from 1 species
UCCCACAUAAACAGAGGACAUUAGUCCAAAGAAGUAUAGAAAAAGAAUCAUCCCUGGGGAUGGUUGGGAGAGAAAAGGAAAACUUGUUCCAGAAAAAACUGACUGAGGGAU